GACGUCGGCCAUGGCGCAGAUUGGAUGAGGAGGAUGCAGAGGAUGAGGAGGCUGGCGAAGAUGCUGGUGGCGGCCUGGAGCCGAUGCGUCGGGGAAUGGGGAAAAAAACGACGAGAGAACCACGGAGGUCGCUCCUUGUUUUUCCAGGGGGCAGCAAAGAAGCUUAGGGUGUUCUUUCUUUUUUUCGACUAUUUAAGCGUCGAAAAGAAACACGAAGCUUGGCGGCGUUUCCGUGUCGCAGUGAGCGGGGAAGGCGCUUAUUAGUCGUCCAAACACCAAAUGACCGGCCUACAUAAUUAAAAGAACAGAUUAAAUCGUGCCCUCCGCUUCUCUGGAAGAGAUAUAUGGUGUUGUGUAGCUGCCUUUUCUCUCUUUUGGGGUGCGUCAGGCCGGCUGAAGGUGAGCGAUGCUGUUGGAAGGGCAGUGAGGUACAAGGCUACCACAGCGCCCCCCCUCGGUGAGGUCCGCAAAGGGCGUGGCCUGCAUCCUCGCAAAACUGAUCUGCCACAUCCAAGAUGGUGGAUUCACUGUUGCGUCGCAGCUACCGGUCAACCACCUUAAGGCAGUGUCUAGAGUGGUACCCACCUCACCACCAUUGUUCAGCUAUGGCUCAGCAUCCUGCUACCGCAACGGCUGCAGCUUGUCUUCAUCCUCUGGGGAAACCACAACCAGCAGAAGGAAUGACACACAACAGCGACACGUCAUCAGCACUCAUCCUGAAGCCAGGAUUGAAGAUAGGCGAUAUGAAACGUCACAACAAUGUUUCUAGGCAAAAAACGCGGCAUUGAAAAAUAUCAGCAAGAAAAAUAUAUCUUAUGAUUGUGACAUGUGCUCAUUUAAUGUGGUUACCAGAUUCCAUGUUUUUAAACUUUUGUCAGGAGUUUUUUCUUCCCGUUUUGCGUGAUGGCCAUCUCGAUCUGAUUUUUUUAUUUCGGCAAGUGCAUGAUCAACAUUCAAUACAACUUCAUUUCACAGUGUGUUUUACAUGACUUGUCGAAAAGGGAAGCGGGUUGAAGCAAUGACAUACAAUGACUACGAAGUCAAUUACAUUUAAAAUUGGUUUGGAUGUUAAACGGUGAGCAUGAAUGGGUACCCUGCUUUACAUGAAUGUAAAAAUUAAAUGAACCCAAGAGUAGAUUUUCUGUAAAUAGUUUUAAUAUUAAAUAAAAAAGACUCCCAUAUAAAAAAGAAAGCUACAGCCCACAAUUUAAUCAUUUUUUUAAACAUAAGUAUUGAAAGCCAGGGGGUAGAAUGAGAAAAGUACUCCCAGAAAAAUUCACAAUUGUUUGCACUCAUCUCUUUUCUCUAAACCAUAUAAAAUCAUAAUAAAACACAUUAACUGUACAUAUGUACAAAUCUCCAAGUGUAUACAAAUUGCAUAAUUUGCUUUUCUUUUUUUGUUAAAUACAGCAAGAGAUGCCAGUAUUUUGAGGGGAGGGCAGUGUGAGGAUAUCAUUUCAUAAUCUACAGUUAGACAAAAACUCAUCAAAUCCACAUUAGGUAUCACAGCUCUGGCUUUUAAGAAUCCCCAUCUUGUUCAUGAUGGAGGGGCUACAUGACGAAUGGCUGUAUACUGAAGGGA